rnacentral:rRNA from 1 species
UACGAAGGGGGCUAGCGUUGUUCGGAAUUACUGGGCGUAAAGCGCGCGUAGGCGGGUUGGUAAGUCCGCUGUGAAAGCCCGGAGCUUAACUCCGGAGGGUCGGUGGAUACUGCCAGUCUUGAAGGUGCUAGGGGGAGAUGGAAUUACCGGUGUAGCGGUGAAAUGCGUAGAUAUCGGUAGGAACACCAGUGGCGAAGGCGGUCUCCUGGGGCAUUCUUGACGCUGAGGCGCGAAAGCUGGGGGAGCAAACGGG